rnacentral:rRNA from 1 species
UAGAGCGGCGGACGGGUGAGUAAUACCUAGGAAUCUGCCUGGUAGUGGGGGAUAACGUUCGGAAACGGACGCUAAUACCGCAUACGUCCUACGGGAGAAAGCAGGGGACCUUCGGGCCUUGCGCUAUCAGAUGAGCCUAGGUCGGAUUAGCUAGUUGGUGAGGUAAUGGCUCACCAAGGCUACGAUCCGUAACUGGUCUGAGAGGAUGAUCAGUCACACUGGAACUGAGACACGGUCCAGACUCCUACGGGAGGCAGCAGUGGGGAAUAUUGGACAAUGGGCGAAAGCCUGAUCCAGCCAUGCCGCGUGUGUGAAGAAGGUCUUCGGAUUGUAAAGCACUUUAAGUUGGGAGGAAGGGCAUUAACCUAAUACGUUAGUGCUUUGACGUUACCGACAGAAUAAGCACCGGCUAACUCUGUGCCAGCAGCCGCGGUAAUACAGAGGGUGCAAGCGUUAAUCGNGAAUUACUGGGCGUAAAGCGCGCGUAGGUGGUUUGUUAAGUUGAAUGUGAAA